GAGGGGUGCAGGGGGCGGGCGGGCAGGGCCCCGCGCAACCUCCGCGGAGAGGGCGGGUGGUGGGAAUUGUUGGAGAAGUGCGGAACAGAGGGGGGCCGCUCCGCGCCCGCGCAGCUCUGCCCCCUCCCUCGGGGAAGCCCCCCACGCCGCUCCGCGCCGCCCUCCGCGUCGCCCUCCGCGUCCCUGCCGCCCGAGGAGAUCGCAGAAAAAGUUUCGGCCGCCGCCUUCGCCGGCACGGAGGGCGCUCCUGGGGAGGGGAGGCGGUGUCGCGGCCCCCCCAUCCCGAUGCCCGCAGGCUCUCCCAAACUUUGUGCUUUAAAAUCCCAAUAAAACUACUGCGACCGCACCUUUCCCCGCGUGUCCCGAAUUUGGGGGCUCCGCGGGGGGCGAGCGGGCGGGGACCGCACGGGAGCGGCGGGGAGAGGGACGAGAAGACACGGGGCCCUCCGCACCGCUCCGCGGGGCCCCACUCCUUGCUCGAGGCGGCGGGGUCGGGGCGCGGCGGCCGCGCAGGCGGCGGAGCGGCCCCGGACCUCUAAAGAGGCUCCAGUGCGCAGCUUUUGUUGGUCUCCCCAAAUCAACUCCCUCUAAUAGCAGUGGAGCUGAAAGCGAGCUAAUGUUCAAAGGCGCUGCCCGCCGGCCCCGAUCGGAGCGCGGUCUCCCGGGGGGAAGACUUUCCCCCCCAUUUUAUUUUGUUGUUGUUGGAGGGUUUUUUUCCCCCUUCUUUUCAAAUCUUUUUUUUCCUGUGCGAGGAGGGAACCGUCUAAGCCGGGCAGGAGGGAGCCGAUGAGCCGAUGAGCCGAUGAGCAGAGCGAAGGAGGUUAGCAAGCCCCUCUGCUCUCCCGCAAAAGUCAGCGACACGGGCACUUCUCCCCGUAACAAAGGCGCCGCGGCCCAUUCACAAAAAAGCAAAGGGAGGAGGAGGGAGGAGGAAGAGUUUGCGGGGGCAGUUCUCCCCCCUUCCAGCCCCUCUGCCCCGGGCCGGGCCGGUCUCUGCCCCGGGCUGGGCCGGUCUCUGCCCCGGGCUGCCCCGCUCCGCUCGCAGCCGCUCCCAGGGUUUUGUGCCAGCUCUGGGGGAGAAGGCCCCCGAGUAAACCAGAGCAGCUCGGCUCUCCUCCCGGGGAAAUGUAAAACUGAUGUAAUAAACCACUGGUAA
rnacentral:lncRNA from 13 species